rnacentral:rRNA from 1 species
AACGAACGCUGGCGGCGUGCCUAACACAUGCAAGUCGGGGGAGAAAGGGAGCUUCGGCUCCCGAGUAAACCGGCGCACGGGUGAGUACAACGUAGGUAACGUACCUUCGAGUCCGGGAUAACCAGUCGAAAGGACUGGCUAAUACCGGAUACGACCGAGAGGGCCUCGGCUCUCGCGGUGAAAGAUGGCCUCUGCUUGCAAGCUAUCACUCGUUGAGCGGCCUGCGCACCAUUAGCAGUUGGUGGGGUAACGGCCCACCAAGGCUGAGAUGGUUAGCUGGUCUGAGAGGAUGGCCAGCCACACUGGGACUGAGACACGGCCCAGACUCCUACGGGAGGCAGCAGUGGGGAAUAUUGCGCAAUGGGCGAAAGCCUGACGCAGCGACGCCGCGUGGGUGA